ACCUUGGAGUAAAGUAGCAGCACAUAAUGGUUUGUGGAUUUUGAAAAGGUGCAGGCCAUAUUGUGCUGCCUCAAAAUACAAGGA
rnacentral:pre_miRNA from 14 species